rnacentral:rRNA from 1 species
GACGAACCGUGCGAACGUUGUUCGGAAUCACUGGGCUUAAAGGGCGCGUAGGCGGCGCAUCAAGUCCGGGGUGAAAGCCCCCAGCUCAACUGGGGAAGUGCCUCGGAUACUGGUGCGCUUGAGGGAGGUAGGGGCGGAUGGAACUUCCGGUGGAGCGGUGAAAUGCGUUGAUAUCGGAAGGAACGCCGGUGGCGAAAGCGAUCCGCUGGCCCUCUUCUGACGCUGAGGCGCGAAAGCCAGGGGAGCAAAGCGGG